rnacentral:rRNA from 1 species
GUUGGGUAGGGGAGCGUUCUGUAAGCCUGUGAAGGUGUGUCGUGAGGCAUGCUGGAGGUAUCAGAAGUGCGAAUGCUGACAUAAGUAACGAUAAAGCGGGUGAAAAGCCCGCUCGCCGGAAGACCAAGGGUUCCUGUCCAACGUUAAUCGGGGCAGGGUGAGUCGACCCCUAAGGCGAGGCCGAAAGGCGUAGUCGAUGGGAAACGGGUUAAUAUUCCCGUACUUGGUGUUACUGCGAAGGGGGGACGGAGAAGGCUAUGUUGGCCGGGCGACGGUUGUCCCGGUUUAAGCGUGUAGGUGUGUGUUCCAGGUAAAUCCGGUUCACUUUAACACUGAGGCGUGACGACGAGGCACUACGGUGCUGAAGCAACAAAUGCCCUGCUUCCAGGAAAAGCCUCUAAGCAUCAGGUAACAUCAAAUCGUACCCCAAACCGACACAGGUGGUCAGGUAGAGAAUACCAAGGCGCUUGAGAGAACUCGGGUGAAGGAACUAGGCAAAAUGGUGCCGUAACUUCGGGAGAAGGCACGCUGACACGUAGGUGAAGUGAUUUACUCAUGGAGCUGAAGUCAGUCGAAGAUACCAGCUGGCUGCAAC